CGAGGAAUCUUGGUCAAUGGGGGCAACCCUGAACCAGCGACGCCGCGUGGAGGACGAAGGCCCUUGGGUCGUAAACUCCUUUUGCCGGGGACGAUAAUGACGGUACCCGGCGAAUAAGCCACGGCUAACUACGUGCCAGCAGCCGCGGUAAUACGUAGGUGGCGAGCGUUGUCCGGAUUUACUGGGCGUAAAGCGCGCGUAGGUGGUCUGGCAAGUCCUGUCGUGAAAGGUCGCGGCCCAACUGCGACAGUGCGCAGGAUACUGCUAGACUUGAGGGCAGCAGAGGUCGGUGGAAUUCCCGGUGGAGUGGUGAAAUGCGUAGAUAUCGGGAGGAACACCAGAGGCGAAGGCGGCCGACUGGGCUGUACCUGACACUGAGGCGCGAAAGCGUGGGGAGCGAACCG
rnacentral:rRNA from 1 species